rnacentral:sRNA from 1 species
CUUGGUCAUUUAGAGGAAGUAAAAGUCGUAACAAGGUUUCCGUAGGUGAACCUGCGGAAGGAUCAUUCACAAACGAGUGUUUUAUGGCACUCUUUAAAAAUCCAUAUCCACCUUGUGUGCAAUGUUUGUUGGGAAAGUCUUUUCUUUCCCUUCAUAAAUAUCAACCUAUAUCUUUAACAACAUUCGUCUGAUAACAUAUUAUGAAUAUACUUAAUUCAAAAUAUAACUUUCAACAACGGAUCUCUUGGCUCUCGCAUCGAUGAAGAACGCAGCGAAAUGCGAUACGUAAUGUGAAUUGCAGAAUUCAGUGAAUCAUCGAAUCUUUGAACGCAUAUUGCGCUCUUUGGUAUUCCGAAGAGCAUGCUUGUUUGAGUAUCAGUAAACACCUCAACCUCUCUUUUUUGAUAAAAAAAGGGAGGGUGGACUUGAGCUAUCCCAACGACCUUCACCGGUAGGCGGGCGGCUUGAAAUGCAGGUGCAGCUGGACUUUUAUCUGAGCUAAAAGCAUAUCUAUUUAGUCCUCGUCAAACAGGAUUAUUACUUUUGCUGCAGCUAACAUAAAGGAUAAUUGUCCUCUUUGCUGACUGAUGCAGGAUUUUACGACACUUUAUGUGUUGUUCAACUCGAUCUCAAAUCAAGUAAGACUACCCGCUGAACUUAAGCAUAUCAAUAAGCGGAGGAAAAGAAACUAACAAGGAUUCCCCUAGUAACGGCGAGUGAAGCGGGAUGAGCUCAAAUUUGAAAUCUGGCUGGUUUACUAGUCCGAGUUGUAAUUUAAAGAAGCGUUUUCGGUGGCAGCCUGGGUAUAAAUCCUUUGGAAUAGGGUAUCAUAGAGGGUGAGAAUCCCGUCUUUGACCUAGUGCAUGCUACUAUGUGAUACGUUUUCAAAGAGUCGAGUUGUUUGGGAAU